GAGGGGCAGUGUCCCUACCCAGGCUUGGAGGAGGAGCCUCAAGGGGUGUGUGUGGUUGGGGGAGACAGGCGGUGUCACCUGUGCUUAGACCAGGGGCGGUGGGCGGGUACCCUUGAGGUGGCAAGGUCACACUGCUCAUCAGAAGUUUCUCACUAGGGUCUUCUCUGGCCCAGCCUUUGACUGAAGCUGGUCUGGAGACAGGGGCGUUAGAGAAGUGACUCAUAGAUGGCCUAAAUAAGCGGGGCCACUCAAGGACCCAGGACAGGGGGAAGAGGGCCAACCCAUCUGGACCGCAGGCAAACCCCAUGGCCUUUGAGAGAAGAGAGAAGAGGACCCGGUGAAGUAGGCUCCGAGGGCCUCAGCCCAGCAGGAGCGCAGGGCUUUUCCUCCAGGAGCUGCACCAGGAACUCACAGAGGAUCAGGGAGAAUUCUGAGAACAUGCUACUGUGGUGCUGCCUAGAGAGGAAGGAUAAAUGAUGACAAGUACAUCUCUGAGUAACGUAUGGGCACUUGUUCAUGAAAACUGUUUUUCUGAAAGCUUGUGAAGGUCUUGAAAUACUCGCUAUCAGUUGAGGACAAACAUUUACACCCUCCUUCCACAGGGAGUUCAAGCAGGCUGGAUGGGUCCAUCUAUGGAUGAUCUUCCCCAGCCCCUUCCUCUUCCCAGCUCAUCCCUGGCUCUCUGUGUGAACAGGUCUCAUCAGUGGAAUGUGGUUGAUGAAGUGAGGUCUUCAAUUUUCUCAUCUACUGUGUGGUCAUGUUAUUUUCCUCAUCUGAGGCUUAAAAACUCACCUGCAUGCAGCACAUGACAGCUUAAAAUCUCUUGUGAACAAAACAGUAACAAAGACACCCACCAGCGUUGAGCAUCCCGUGUUGAUGACAGCGACCACCAGGGGUCAACGUCCUCUUCACAAUCCUGUGUCAGAGCAUCACUUGACUGAUUUCAUUAGCAACUUCCCAGGAGAAUCAGCUUACAAAAUACUUGUCCCAUUUUCCAUGCAGAUGUAACCCAUCUAUUUUACUGAAGAAAUGGGAAGAGCUGAAUGCUGAAUACACUGAAUGUCUGCAGGUUGUGCAAGUUUGUGACUUUAUCACUUUCUAAUUUCUGAUCUGUGUGGACCACUCUACAGAUUUUUCUCACUGGUGUGAUCAGCCUUCUGGAUGUCAAAUAUAAUAGACUUUCAAUAAUAUAAAAGUCAACACAAGCUCCUCAUGGUUUCAGUGCUCAGUGAUGACUCUAAACUUACACAAUGUGUUUCUUUAUUAGUUUUGUUUUCUGGUAUCUCUACUCGGCAUCUUCACCACACCCAUUUUAUGUUUCUUAUACAGGCUUUCUUCUAUGAAAUGCUAUGUCAUGAAUAUGCAAAUAACCUGAGAUCCACUGAGGUAAAUUUGGAUGUCUGUGCCCUGAGAGCAUCACCCAACAACCACAUCCCUCCUCUAUAGAAGCCCCUGAGAACACAGCUCCUCACCAUGGACUGUACCUGGGGGAUCCACUUCUUGGUGGCAGCUGCCACAGGUGUCCAUUCCCAGGUUCAGCUGUUGCAGCCUGGGGCUGAGGUGAAGAAGCCUGGGUCCUCAGUGAAGGUCUCCUGCCAGGCUUCCAGAUACACCUUCACCAAAUACUUUACACGGUGGGUGUGACAAAGCCCUGGACAAGGGCAUAGUGGAUGGGAUGAAUCAACCCUUACAAUGAUAACACACACUAUGCACAGACGUUCUGGGGCAGAGUCACCAUUACCAGUGACAGGUCCAUGAGCACAGCCUACAUGGAGCUGAGCAACCUGAGAUCUGAAGACAUGGUCAUGUAUUACUGUGUGAGAGACACAGUGCAAAAACCCACAUCCUGAGAGUGUCAGAAACCCCAGGAAGGAGACACCUGUGCUGACACAGAGGAGAUGACAAAGAUUAUUAGAUUAAAGAUUUGCUUAGAAAAUGACAUUAAGUCAUUAAAGAAAAGGAACAAUAUUAAUGUGUAUUUGAGAAAUUUUAAUUAUUUGAGAGAUUUUUCAUACAACAUUUAUUCUGUAAACAAAUUUCAAUGAUUAGAGAAUUAAUCAAAUUAAUGAAACUAAUAUAGAACUUCCUCUGAAGGUAUCUCUGUAAACAUUAAUUUCUUAAUCAGUGCUGUAAGUAUUUUGGAAUACAGACACAAAAUCACAUUUUAAGUCUGCAUUUAUAUCUAUUAAAAAUGCCAAAAAAAUCUCCUUUUGUGCGUGUAGCAUUUUGAAUUCCCACCAUCAAUGCAUGAUAGUUCUUGGUUUUCCACAUUCAUAUUGCCAUGUAUCCUUAUGAGAGUUGUGUGUUUUAACCAAUCUAGUAGGUGAGUAAUGGGAUCUAAUUUUUAUUUAAAUGCACAUGUCCCUCAAAAAGUUCAUAUUUAACAAUUUUCCAAUAACUUUUGUUGAGAUGCCU
rnacentral:lncRNA from 1 species